GACCUGACGGUACAGGGCAACAGAGAGCAGACCGCCGAUGGCUCGGCGGCGGUGCCGGCAACGGGACCGACGAGGAGCACAGGUAAGGGUGAAACGGUGCGGUAAGAGCGCACCAGCGUCGAGGGCGACCUCGGCGGCUCGGCAACCCCCACCCGGAGCAAGGUCGAAUCGUGGGAGGGCCGGCCCGGCCAUAUCUCCCCAGGUGGACCGCACAGAUGGAUGGUCACCACUCCCGGGAUCGUGAGGCACCGGGAGGACAGAACCCCGCUUACAGGUCAACUCAUCCU
rnacentral:RNase_P_RNA from 1 species